AAUGAUGGCUUGUUAUCCCUGUCUGAGGCCAAUGGCUUGAUUAGAUGAUUUGACAGAGC
rfam:Giardia intestinalis strain GS GS_B_0049, whole genome shotgun sequence.